rnacentral:rRNA from 1 species
UACUCCGCCGGCGACCGGCGCACGGGUGCGUAACGCGUAUGCAACCUACCUUUAACAGGGGCAUAACACUGAGAAAUUGGUACUAAUUCCCCAUAACAUUCGAGAAGGCAUCUUCUUGGGUUAAAAACUCCGGUGGUUAAAGAUGGGCAUGCGUUGUAUUAGCUAGUUGGCGAGGUAACGGCUCACCAAGGCAACGAUACAUAGGGGGACUGAGAGGUUAACCCCCCACAUUGGUACUGAGACACGGACCAA